GAUGAACGCUGGCGGCGUGCCUAAUACAUGCGAGUCGAGCGAACGGACGAGAAGCUUGCUUCUCUGAUGUUAGCGGCGGACGGGUGAGUAACACGUGGAUAACCUACCUAUAAGACUGGGAUAACUUGGGGAAACCGGAGCUAAUACCGGAUAAUAUUUUGAACCGCAUGGUUCAAAAGUGAAAGACGGUCUUGCUGUCACUUAUAGAUGGAUCCGCGCUGCAUUAGCUAGUUGGUAAGGUAACGGCUUACCAAGGCAACGAUGCAUAGCCGACCUGAGAGGGUGAUCGGCCACACUGGAACUGAGACACGGUCCAGACUCCUACGGGAGGCAGCAGUAGGGAAUCUUCCGCAAUGGGCGAAAGCCUGACGGAGCAACGCCGCGUGAGUGAUGAAGGUCUUCGGAUCGUAAAACUCUGUUAUUAGGGAAGAACAUAUGUGUAAGUAACUGUGCACAUCUUGACGGUACCUAAUCAGAAAGCCACGGCUAACUACGUG
rnacentral:rRNA from 1 species